rnacentral:rRNA from 1 species
AUUCUUGGUCAUUUAGAGGAAGUAAAAGUCGUAACAAGGUUUCCGUAGGUGAACCUGCGGAAGGAUCAUUAUCGAAUUCUGAGGGGAGGGGAAGAUGGCGAGUCGAGAUUUGUCGCUGGCCCCCCUUCCUUGGGCAUGUGCACGUCUUGCUUGUCGUCAACCUUUCUCUCAUACACCCACACCUGUGCACCUGUUGUAGGUCCUCGAAAGAGGAUCUAUGUUUUUCACACCUCACACCUAUCGUAUGUCUACAGAAUGUAUUGAGAUCGUCGACCUGUUCACCAGGACGGCGGUCAAUAAAAGUCUAUACAACUUUCAGCAACGGAUCUCUUGGCUCUCGCAUCGAUGAAGAACGCAGCGAAUUGCGAUAAGUAAUGUGAAUUGCAGAUUUUCAGUGAAUCAUCGAAUCUUUGAACGCACCUUGCGCUCCUUGGUAUUCCGAGGAGCAUGCCUGUUUGAGUGUCAUUGAAUUCUCAAACCAUGUCUUGAUUGGUUUCAAGGCAUGGCUUGGACUUGGGGGUUUGCUGGCAGCGAAAGGCUGUCAGCUCUCCUGAAAUACAUUAGCAGAGGGCGGGGCAAGUCCCCCUGACGUGCACGGCCUUCGACGUGAUAAUGAUCGUCGUGGCUGGAGCGUUGGACAUGCAUGAAAUCCGUCUGUGCUUCCAAUCUCCCCACACCCUAGCCUUCGAGUCUCUUAGCUAUUAGUCGGUCGUGAGGCCAGCGAACGUUGGGCGGCUAGGGGCUGGUCUGUUUCGAAACUUGACCUCAAAUCAGGUAGGACUACCCGCUGAACUUAAGCAUAUCAAUAAGCGGAGGAAAAGAAACUAACAAGGAUUCCCCUAGUAACUGCGAGUGAAGCGGGAAGAGCUCAAAUUUUGAAUCUGGCGGUCUUCGGCCGUCCGAGUUGUAAUCUAGAGAA